CUUUAUUUUUCUUUCAUACAUUUUCACACAUAAAAUCAAGCCACCAACAUCUUCUCUCUCUCUCCCUCUCUCCCCUUGUUCUUGUUAAUCUCUCUCGCCCUCCCCCGGUCAGAGGUGAUGUGAUUUCCUGCAGCUCUGACUCAUGUCAUCAGGAUUAUUUAGAUGAUGAUCAUUAUGGCAAUCGUAGGUCUUAUAUGUUUUGGAGUCAUUUUUCUGUAUUUCUUCUACUGAGCUGGUCUCCAGGGAUCGGACACGCGAGUCCCAGGACCAGACUGCCCCGACGCCGGCCGAACCCCCACCCCCUUCACCCCCUCCAAAAAAGAAGAAAAGAAUCCAGCCUCUCCUCCUCCUCUUCCUCGGAAACCUCUCGGUUCCUCUCCAGUCAGGAAUCCUGAGUGGAUGUAAUGUUGUAAUUUAUUUUUACUUAAUAAUUAGAAGUUAAUUCAAUAAAAGUAAAAAAAAUGUUGGGGGUUCUUGAUUCAUAAACUUCACAUUUCUUGGCGACCAGGUGUCUAAACAUGUUUUGCAUGAAACAGAAAAGCGUCUUCUAUGUGUUCAAUCCGGCCCCUUAAAAAAUGGGAUUUGAUUAUAAAGAAGAUUGGGCUGCAAAAAAAAAGAAAGAAGAGAAAAAGACCCUUCCAGGUGGAUUUAAAGGGACAGUACCUGAUUUUAUUCACCUCCAGACCAUCUCCUGCUAAAAAGAUGCGACCGGUAUUUGCCAAAAAGACACGAUCAGACAUAAAAAGUAUAAAAGUUAAUAUAUAAAACAUUUCUGAAGAUUUUUAUUGUUCCUAAACGGACCUAAAAACUUAUUUUAGGUCAGAAACCUCUCAGAAAUAUCCAUCUUCAUUCCUCUCUGUCCUGCCUGUGAUGUGCUCGUUCAGUGUAUGUUGAGGGACGCCGCCCCCUCGCUGUCGGCGGCGGUACUGCGACGGGAACACUUUUAGAUUUCACUGUAAAUAAACGGUCCUGUUGUCAUGGCGUCGUCGUGUUUGAAUGUUUCUGUACAUAAUUUAAGGCAUUUUCACGGCGGCUAACCCGUCGUCAUGGUUACCGUCCAACACUGGUCUAUUGUUCAAGGGAAAGGGCGAGUUAGUGCU